GUUCCAAUGUAAAUUGUUAGGAAACGACCACAGCAACAAGAAAAGAAGAGAAAACGACAUUUGCGAGUGAAGUGGUCGCUAAAGCCUACAAAAAUGCACAAUCAACAUUAAAUUUAACAUCUACACCAGAUGAGAACUUGAGAAUUUUUGCAAGCGACUUAGCACUUGGAAACGGGUACAAGACAACAGCAGCCAAUGAUGAACGGGCUGGACAGAACUAACAAAAAACAAAAUCGAAUUUUUAUUCGAAAAGUAAACCCCACC